CCUACGGGAGGCAGCAGUGGGGAAUAUUGCACAAUGGGGGAAACCCUGAUGCAGCGACGCCGCGUGAGUGAAGAAGUAAUUCGUUAUGUAAAGCUCUAUCAGCAGGGAAGAAAAUGACGGUACCUGAGUAAGAAGCCCCGGCUAACUACGUGCCAGCAGCCGCGGUAAUACGUAGGGGGCAAGCGUUAUCCGGAUUUACUGGGUGGAAAGGGAGCGUAGACGACAGUGCAAGUCUGGAGUGAAAGGCGGGGGCUCAACCCCCGGACUGCUCUGGAAACUGUACGGCUGGAGUGCAGGAGAGGUAAGUGGAAUUCCUAGUGGAGCGGUGAAAUGCGUAGAUAUUAGGAGGAACACCAGUGGCGAAGGCGGCUUACUGGACUGUAACUGACGUUGAGGCUCGAAAGCGUGGGGAGCAAACAGGAUUAGAUACCCUAGUAGUC
rnacentral:rRNA from 1 species